GUCUCAAAAAUUAAGCCAUGCAUGUCUAAGUAUAAGCACUUGUACUGUGAAACUGCGAAUGGCUCAUUAAAUCAGUUAUCGUUUAUUUGAUUGUACUUUACUACAUGGAUACCUGUGGUAAUUCUAGAGCUAAUACAUGCGAAAAAUCCCAACUUCUGGAAGGGAUGUAUUUAUUAGAUUAAAAACCAAUGCGAGCCUUCGGGUUCGUUUUCUUGGUGAUUCAUGAUAACUUUUCGAAUCGCAUGGCCUAGAGCCGGCGAUAUUUCAUUCAAAUUUCUGCCCUAUCAACUUUCGAUGGUAAGGUAGUGGCUUAACAUGGUUAUAACGGGUGACGGAGAAUUAGGGUUCGAUUCCGGAGAGGGAGCCUGAGAAACGGCUACCACAUCUAAGGAAGGCAGCAGGCUCGAAAAUUACCCAAUCCCGACUCGGGGAGGUAGUGACAAGAAAUAACGAUACGGGGUCUUAAUAGGUCUCGCAAUUGGAAUGAGUACAAUUUAAAUCCUUUAACGAGGAUCAAUUGGAGGGCAAGUCUGGUG
rnacentral:rRNA from 1 species